CGUGAAGUUGGAAUCGCUAGUAAUCGCGGAUCAGCAUGCCGCGGUGAAUACGUUCCCGGGCCUUGUACACACCGCCCGUCACACCAUGGGAGUCAGCAACGCCCGAAGCCGGUGACCCAACCGAAAGGAGGGAGCCGUCGAAGGUGGGGCCGAUAACUGGGGUGAAGUCGUAACAAGGUAUC
rnacentral:rRNA from 1 species